rnacentral:sRNA from 1 species
UCCUGAACAAGCAGAAGGGGGCGCCUUUGCUGUUUGUGGUCCGCCAGAAGGAGGCUGUGGUGUCCUUCCAGGUGCCCCUAAUCCUGCGAGGGAUGUGAGUAGGAUCUGGGCGUCAGGGAAGCGGGGUGGCCUAGGCCAGUCCUUGGCUGGAGCCUCAACCAGGAGCCCCCCCAUUUCUCCUCCCCUUUCCCUGGGCCAUGAGGCUGGUCAACAGCACAAGGGCUGAGUCCUGCCAGCCGGGAGCUUGUGUACCUCUCAGGGAGGUGGUGGAGACCAGACCAGGGGAGGUGGGGCCUCGCUCCUCUGGAGGGGCAGGCCGGCUGGGACAGUGCUCACAUCCUAUCUCCCUGCUUCGGGACAUAGGUUUCAGCGCAAGUACCUCUACCAAAAAGUGGAACGAACCCUGUGUCAGCCCCCCACCAAGAAUGAGUCGGAGAUUCAGUUCUUCUAUGUGGAUGUGUCCACCCUGUCGCCAGUCAACACCACAUACCAGCUCCGGGUCAGCCGCAUGGACGAUUUUGUGCUCAGGACUGGGGAGCAGUUCAGCUUCAAUACCACAGCAGCACAGCCCCAGUACUUCAAGUAUGAGUUCCCUG